rnacentral:rRNA from 1 species
UUCGCAAUGCCCGAAAGGGUGACGAAGCGACGCCGCGUGUGGGAAGAAGGCCUUCGGGUUGUAAACUGCUGUCACAUGUUAAGAAUGGUCUGGGGUAAAUAGCCCUCGACUUGACAAAGGCAUGAGAGGAAGUCACGGCUAACUUCGUGCCAGCAGCCGCGGUAAGACGAAGGUGGCAAGCGUUGCUCGGAAUUACUGGGCAUAAAGAGCGCGUAGGUGGCUUGGUAAGUCGGUGGUGAAAUCCUAUGGCUCAACCAUAGAACUGCCAUCGAUACUGCUAGGCUUGAGGGCAGGAGGGGAGAGUGGAACUCCUGGUGUAGCGGUGAAAUGCGUAGAUAUCAGGAGGAACGCCGGUGGCGAAAGCGACUCUCUGGACUGCUUCUGACACUGAGGCGCGAAAGCUAGGGGAGCAAACAGGAUUAGAUACCCUGGUAGUCCUAGCUGUAAACGAUGGGCACUAAGUAGAGGGGUUUU